AGUUAAGUGAGAAAGCGUACAGGGCGGAUGCCUUGGCAAUCAGAGGCGAAGAAGGACGUGCUAAUCUGCGAAAAGCGUGGGUGAGUUGAUAAGAAGCGUUUAACCCACGAUGUCCGAAUGGGGAAACCCGAUAGGCGAAGAGCCUAUCAUUGCGAGGUGAAUAAAAUAGCCUCGUAAGGCGAACCGGGAGAACUGAAACAUCUAAGUACCCCGAGGAAAAGAAAUCAACCGAGAUUCUGUGAGUAGCGGCGAGCGAAAGCGGAGGAGCCAGUAAGUAAUAGCAGCAGAGAUAGAGGAAUUGUCUGGGAAGGCAAGCGACACAGGGUGAUAGCCCCGUACUUAAAAUCCAGGCUGUGGUACUAAGCUUACGAGAAGUAGGGCGGGACACGAGGAAUCCUGUCUGAAGAUGGGGACCAUCCUCCAAGGCUAAAUACUCCUGAUUGACCGAUAGUGAACCAGUACUGUGAAGGAAAGGCGAAAAGAACCCCGGUGAGGGGAGUGAAAUAGAACCUGAAACCCUGUACGUACAAGCAGUGGGAGCCCGCAAGGGUGACUGCGUACCUUUGUAUAAUGGGUCAGCGACUUAUAUUUUGUAGCGAGGUUAACUGAAUAAGGGAGCCGAAGGGAAACCGAGUCUUAACUGGGCGAAGAGUUGCAAGGUAUAGACCCGAAACCCGGUGAUCUAGCCAUGGGCAGGUUGAAGGUUGGGUAACACUAACUGGAGGACCGAACCGACUAAUGUUGAAAAAUUAGCGGAUGACCUGUGGCUGGGGUGAAAGGCCAAUCAAACCGGGAGAUAGCUGGUUCUCCCCGAAAUCUAUUUAGGUAGAGCCUUGUGUGAAUACCUUUGGGGGUAGAGCACUGUUUCGGCUAGGGGCCCAUCCCGGGUUACCAAACCGAUGCAAACUCCGAAUACCAAAGAGUAAUGCACAGGAGACACACGGCGGGUGCUAACGUCCGUCGUGGAGAGGGAAACAACCCAGACCGCCAGCUAAGGUCCCAAAAUCUAUAUUAAGUGGGAAACGAAGUGGGAAGGCUUAGACAGCUAGGAUGUUGGCUUAGAAGCAGCCACCAUUUAAAGAAAGCGUAAUAGCUCACUAGUCGAGUCGGCCUGCGCGGAAGAUGUAACGGGGCUAAAAUAUAGUACCGAAGCUGCGGCAUCAAUCGAAAGAUUGUUGGGUAGGGGAGCGUUGUGUAAGCGGAAGAAGGUGGUUCGAGAGGAUUGCUGGACGUAUCACAAGUGCGAAUGCUGACAUAAGUAACGAUAAAACGGGUGAAAAACCCGUUCGCCGGAAGACCAAGGGUUCCUGUCCAACGUUAAUCGGGGCAGGGUGAGUCGGCCCCUAAGGCGAGGCUGAAAAGCGUAGUCGAUGGGAAACGGGUUAAUAUUCCCGUACUUGGUAAAGCUGCGAUGUGGGGACGGAGAAGGUUAGGUUAUCGACCUGUUGGAGAUGGUCGUUUAAGUUGGUAGGUGGGUGAGUUAGGCAAAUCCGGCUCACCGUUAACACUGAGAGAUGAUGACGAGGCACUAAGGUGCUGAAGUAACUGAUACCACACUUCCAGGAAAAGCCACUAAGCUUCAGGCUUUACUAAACCGUACUGAAAACCGACACAGGUGGUCAGGUAGAGAAUACUCAGGCGCUUGAGAGAACUCGGGUGAAGGAACUAGGCAAAAUAGCACCGUAACUUCGGGAGAAGGUGCGCCGGCGUAGAUUGUAGUGACUUGCUCACAAAGGUUGAACCGGUCGAAGAUACCAGCUGGCUGCAACUGUUUAUUAAAAACACAGCACUCUGCAAACACGAAAGUGGACGUAUAGGGUGUGAUGCCUGCCCGGUGCUGGAAGGUUAAUUGAUGGUGUAAUCGAAAGAGAAGCUCCUGAUCGAAGCCCCAGUAAACGGCGGCCGUAACUAUAACGGUCCUAAGGUAGCGAAAUUCCUUGUCGGGUAAGUUCCGACCUGCACGAAUGGCAUAAUGAUGGCCAGGCUGUCUCCACCCGAGACUCAGUGAAAUUGAAAUCGCCGUGAAGAUGCGGUGUACCCGCGGCUAGACGGAAAGACCCCGUGAACCUUUACUAUAGCUUGACACUGAACCUUGAAUUUUGAUGUGUAGGAUAGGUGGGAGACUAUGAAGCGGUAACGCCAGUUAUCGUGGAGUCGUUGUUGAAAUACCACCCUUUAACGUUUGAUGUUCUAACGAAGCGCCUGAAACGGGUGUUCGGACAGUGUCUGGUGGGUAGUUUGACUGGGGCGGUCUCCUCCCAAAGUGUAACGGAGGAGCACGAAGGUUUGCUAAUGACGGUCGGACAUCGUCAGGUUAGUGCAAUGGUAUAAGCAAGCUUAACUGCGAGACAGACAAGUCGAGCAGGUGCGAAAGCAGGUCAUAGUGAUCCGGUGGUUCUGAAUGGAAGGGCCAUCGCUCAACGGAUAAAAGGUACUCCGGGGAUAACAGGCUGAUACCGCCCAAGAGUUCAUAUCGACGGCGGUGUUUGGCACCUCGAUGUCGGCUCAUCACAUCCUGGGGCUGAAGUAGGUCCCAAGGGUAUGGCUGUUCGCCAUUUAAAGUGGUACGCGAGCUGGGUUUAGAACGUCGUGAGACAGUUCGGUCCCUAUCUGCCGUGGGCGUUGGAGAAUUGAGAGGGGCUGUUCCUAGUACGAGAGGACCGGAGUGGACGCAUCACUGGUGUACCAGUUGUCUCGCCAGAGGCACAGCUGGGUAGCUAAAUGCGGAAGAGAUAAGUGCUGAAAGCAUCUAAGCACGAAACUUGCCUCAAGAUGAGUUCUCCCUGACUUAAAGUCAGUAAGGGUUGUUGGAGACGACGACGUAGAUAGGCUGGGUGUGUAAGCGGUGUGAGCCGUUGAGCUAACCAGUACUAAUUGCCCGAGAGACUUAACUAU
rnacentral:rRNA from 1 species